rnacentral:tRNA from 2 species
GCCUCAGUAGCUCAGCCUGGUAGAGCAUCUGAUUUGUAAUCAGACGGUCGGGGGUUCAACUCCCUCCUGGGGCUCCA